rnacentral:rRNA from 1 species
UACGUAGGGGGCUGGCGUUGUCCGGAUUUAUUGGGCGUAAAGAGCGUGUAGGCGGCCAGGUAGGUCUGGUGUGAAAACUCGAGGCUUAACCUCGAGAUGUCAUCGGAAACCAUCUGGCUAGAGUCCGGAAGAGGAGAGUGGAAUUCCUGGUGUAGCGGUGAAAUGCGCAGAUAUCAGGAAGAACACCAAUGGCGAAAGCAGCUCUCUGGGACGGUACUGACGCUGAGACGCGAAAGCGUGGGGAGCGAACAGG